CGGACGGGUGAGUAAUGUCUGGGAAACUGCCUGAUGGAGGGGGAUAACUGCUGGAAACGGUAGCUAAUACCGCAUAACGUCGCAAGACCAAAGGGGGGACCUUCGGGCCUCUUGCCAUCGGAUGUGCCCAGAUGGGAUUAGCUAGUAGGUGGGGUAACGGCUCACCUAGGCGACGAUCCCUAGCUGGUCUGAGAGGGUGGCCAGCCACACUGGAACUGAGACACGGUCCAG
rnacentral:rRNA from 1 species